GACAGAGGGGGCAAGCGUUGCUCGGAAUCACUGGGCGUAAAGGGCGCGUAGGCGGGAUGGCAAGUCAGUCGUGAAAUCUCUCGGCUCAACCGAGAAACGUCGGCUGAUACUGCCGUUCUUGAGGGAUGCAGAGGAGACUGGAAUUCCCGGUGUAGCGGUGAAAUGUGUAGAGAUCGGGAGGAACACCGGUGGCGAAGGCGGGUCUCUGGGCAUUUCCUGACGCUGAGGCGCGAAAGCGUGGGGAGCAAACGGG
rnacentral:rRNA from 4 species